UACGUAGGGGGCUAGCGUUGCUCGGAAUCACUGGGCGUAAAGGGCGCGUAGGCGGUUUGGAAAGUCCGAUGUGAAAUUCCUGGGCUCAACCUGGGAGCUGCAUUUGAUACGUUCGGACUAGAGUGGGGAAGAGGGUCGUGGAAUUCCCAGUGUAGGGGUGAAAUUCGUAGAUAUUGGGAAGAACACCGGUGGCGAAGGCGGCGACCUGGGCCUUGACUGACGCUGAGGCGCGAAAGCGUGGGGAGCAAACAGG
rnacentral:rRNA from 1 species